rnacentral:rRNA from 1 species
UAGGGAAUAUUGGGCAAUGGGCGAAAGCCUGACCCAGCAACGCCGCGUGCACGAUGAAGGUCUUCGGAUCGUAAAGUGCUUUUCUGAGAGAUGAGAAAGGACAGUAUCUCAGGAAUAAGUCUCGGCUAACUACGUGCCAGCAGCCGCGGUAACACGUAGGAGGCAAGCGUUAUCCGGAUUUAUUGGGCGUAAAGCGCGUGCAGGUGGUUCGGUAAGUUGGAUGUGAAAGCUCCUGGCUCAACUGGGAGAGGUCGUUCAAUACUACCGGGCUUGAGAGCAGUAGAGGGAGGUGGAAUUCCAGGUGUAGUGGUGAAAUGCGUAGAUAUCGGGAGGAACACCAGUGGCGAAAGCGGCCUCCUGGACUGUUUCUGACACUCAGACGCGAAAGCUAGAGUAGCAAACGG